CUGGGUGACACAGCAAGACACUGUCUCAAACAAACAACAAAAAAAAGAACUCUGUUUUAUGUGGUCUUUGGUCUUUCAAAAAUUGCAGGAUGGCUCAUGUUGACCCAGCUUCCAAGAUGGCGGAAUCGGAACAGCUCCGGUGUACAGCUGCCAGUGAGAUUGACGCAGAAGAUGGGUGAUUUCUGCAUUUCCAACUGAGAUGCAAUGGAAGAUCAGAAAGUAUACAUU